GACAGAGGGGGCAAGCGUUGCUCGGAAUUACUGGGCGUAAAGGGCGCGUAGGCGGGAUGGCAAGUCGGUCGUGAAAUCCCUCGGCUCAACCGAGGAACGUCGAUCGAUACUGCUGUUCUUGAGGAUUGCAGAGGAGACUGGAAUUCCCGGUGUAGCGGUGAAAUGCGUAGAUAUCUGGAGGAACACCGGUGGCGAAGGCGGCGUUCUGGACUGCAACUGACACUGAGGAACGAAAGCCAGGGGAGCAAACGGG
rnacentral:rRNA from 1 species